CGAAAACCCUCGCCACUCAGGAAGAACUGAGGCAAAAGGAUCACAGAUGCUGCUCGGGGCCAGCCCUAUACUCCCUCCAGUGCCUGGACUCCCGUGGACCCGCGGGGCUCUGCAGUUCUCAGACGGCCGCGCCUUGUGAGCGCUAAGCCGGGAGGAGGGCGCAGGCAGGGCGCACAGCUCUGAGCGCGCCCCUACCCGGCUCGGGCCCGCAGCAGCCCCGACUGUCCGAGAGCCUCUCCGCAAGCAAGGCUCUGCGCCGCCCUCUGAGCCCACCUCCUGGCCACAACGCCGCCUGCGCUUCUCCAGCCCAGGCCGGAAGCCCUACGCUGCCUCCUGAAGCCGGACUUUCUGGAAGCCCAUCUCCGUAUGCUCACCAGCCCACCCUCCUACGCUGGUCAGAGUGAGAUUGCUAACCUCAAGACCCCAUUCAAUGCCAGCUUUCAACUGCUGCUGAAGACCAAUGUAGGUCCUGGAUUAGAAGAACCGCAGAGUAUCCGGAGCUGGCCGACCCCAGACUGAUUCUCAACAGGUGGCUGGGUUACCAAACAGCCUGGACUUUUGAAUCAGAUCUCUGGAGCGAGCAUUAAGAACUCCAGCCAAACAGAUCUCAGGGCCUGGCCCUUUCACUCAGCCGCGGAGGCUGCUUGAGGGAUGGGGAGAGGUGACUUCACUCAGCGCCAACGCGCAGGAAAAACUCAUAGACGACAGUUGGACUAAUACUCGUCCUUUAAGAAUGCACUACCUGAAGUUAGUCGAAAGUCAUCUUCAAUCAAGGAAAGGAAAAAAAAAAAAAACCUCACAUCUAGAAGCUUCGCUGAAGCCACUUCCAACAGCACGCGAACAUGUUUGCGCACACCCUUCUCUGUGCACUCCCCAAUGCCUGCUCUCUCUCGGGCAGGUGAAAAUACAGGCUGCCCAGGCCAGAGGAGAGAAGGCGGCGGAGGAAUACAUCGCUUAGGGUUUUUUAGAAACUAGGAAUAACUGUUUUCAAUACUCUGCUCUGCUACCAGGACCUUAGGUCCUUCUUGGGACCCUGAAAAGUGGCUUUGCCCCACGAUGUGGGGGGGGGGGCAGUGACUCUAGCUCUGGCCCUCCUACUGGGAGCUUAAAGUUGGGGUGAAGGGCUUAAGGAGGAGCCGAGGGGGCGGGCCCUGUUAGUUUGCAGUUGUAAGUGCAGCUGUGCCUGGGACACCAAGAAAGAGAGUCUCACCCGCUAACGCUCCUGGUGCUUGCUUAGAGGUUCCCCGAGGUUAACUACGGGAGCUUCUGCUCUCUCCUGAGCCCCAGGCCAACACAGGACGAUGGUGGCCGGGAUGCCAGCCGACGCCUAAACUCAGUAAGACUUCAGUUGCCUCUCAUUUUGGCUGUUCAGAGCUAAUGUCUACCGGAGAAAGUUUUAGAAGUGGGUCGCACCCGUCCUGAAUCCACCCUGUGAGGUGGCAGAGGGUCAGAGGGUCACUUCUUCUUGUUAAAGGUUAGCAUAAUACUUACUAGGGUAGAGGAAGAUGUGGAGAAAAAAAAAAAAAGCCUACGGUGCCUAGGACUCUAACCACCUUACAGCUUACUCAAAGUUCAGAACCUCCCAUUGUACACCUUCUCUCCCCAACGCAGAUCCCUAAGGUCUCAUCUUCAUCUGUGUGUGUUCACAGAAGGUACAGUGUGCGAGAACACACUUAGGGAAAUUUUAGGAACGCUAACCACAGUCCUGGAGGAAUAAAGAUGUGGCGAAGGAAUGGAUCGAGUGCAUGAACACAUACACCUUGUUGUCCAGAUGCAGACAAAAGCUACCAUGUCCGCUUGGAGUGACACCCAGACAUGCACAGAGAUGUACAGGAAGCCAAGGAGAGUGGGAUCAAUCAGAGUACAGUACAAGUACAGAGUACAGUGCAAGAUGCCCAGGGACCCUGGAGAAAAACCUUUGUUGACUCUUCUGUAUGGAAAGUUUCUGAAGAAAGGGCCAAGGAAUGAUCUGCCCCGGAGGCUGCCUUUAGGCUCCCAUACCUGCUCUGUUGGAGACACCCAGAAGAGGCCAGUACGCCAAAGACUUUUUGGUUUGGUUAUUUCUGUUGCUUGUUGUCUUUUUUCAUCCUUUGCCUGGGAAGUUGUGCUCUGGAAGAGGGCUUGAGUAGACAGCACAGGCCUCCAGUAGAUAACAAGAGAUUCUCAAUCUCCAAUGAGGACAUUCCGCUCUAAGGAAGCUUCCAGAUAGGGGAAAGCCCUGUUUUGUCCCCCUUUCUCCUCUGAGAUCUGAAAAAAAUAGAAAGAAAAAAAAAGAAAAAGAAAAAGAAAACAAAUCUAAAAACUAUAGCCCAAUCCCAUAUACAUUAAAUAAAUCCACAAGGAAUACGCUAGACCAAGCUAAAUUAUGUAUUUAACUCAUUUUCUUUUGUGAGAUACUGAGAAGUCUUCAACUUCCUCUAUUCCAGGCAGGGAUUGAGGUCCUGGCCUGGCAGAGAUUCUACCACCAGGGUUUCCCACAGUGGUUCUGGGGCUAGGCUUAAGGUGUAAUGACUUGUUUUCUCUGUCACCUCUUCUGGGGAACUGGGGAACUGUCCCAGACAAUGGCUGCCCCAGUUCCCUCUAGAAGAGACAGCCCCCCCCCCAGAACCCGUUGCCCUCCAACCUCACCUCGUUUUCCAAUGUGCUCUCUUGAGCUCAUUCUCAGAGCUCUUAAAGUAGUAGGUGUGAGUCUUGUACCAUUUCUUUAAAAGAAACGACUAAGGGAAGGGAGGGAGGGAAGGAGGGAGGGAAGGGGUGGGAAGGAGAGCUACCUCCUGGGCUAACAGGUCCAGGAACCACUCUGUAAGGAGCAAAAGAGAGCCUGUGUUGUAAAGCAGAAGUGAUCCCCCCGGACGUUGCUGCAGGGCGCCUUGCAACAGAUGUAACUGUCCACUGAAGAGACAGAGGGUGGGCAUGGGGAAGAUUUUUUUCCCACCCUUUUGUGAACAACUCUUACACUUUUCCAAGACACAUUUAGUUCCUGGACAUUUUUGUGAAUUUGUUCUCGAUUGUGUUUUGAACAAUAAACUGUGAGAAUCAACUUCAAGCCCACACAAUCAGAAUCUUCCUUGGGAGGGCAGGUUCUUUCAGAGCUGUUUUUCUCCAGGUCGCUUUUAUCUCACCCCCAAUGGGAGUCACCUGCUGAUGCUCCUCGGGAGGAGACGGUAACUGAAAGAGGGAAGUGAAUGCAGACACAUCAUCCUCUGAGCCAAAGCGUUACUUUGGUUCCUUCUAGCUUAAGAUGCCGAACACUGGUUGGCUUUGAACAUCCUCUACUUCGCUAAGAAGUUUAGAGCCUUUCUCACAACAAACCACAGCGUUUUAGAACUGGAAAAUGUUUCUUCUGAUUUUCCAGUCUUAGGACAAUUUUCAAACUCUAACUUAAAAAAAUUGUUCAUGGGGGUUUAGCUAGAACACUUGUAGCAUUCGCUUCUCAAGUAAAGAUCAACUGUUUUCUCAUAACCCCAACUGCUCCACACACUUCAUAGGAUAUAAUGUAUUUUCUUUACUUAUCCUUGUGCCUUCUGCCCAGGACACAGAACUAGGGGCAAAACUUUGGAGGUCUAUGACCUCUUGAUAGCAACUGUAAUUGUUGGGCUUUUGUUCUUGUGCCUUGAAAAUCUCUCAUGUACGUCUAUGAAAAUAUGCAUUGCAUGGGUGUGCUCCUAUCAAGUUGUCCACACUUUCUCAACAACCUUUGAUGAAUCAAACCAUUUCUAUUGCCCAGGGCAAAGGGCUAAUCGCCUUAUGGGUCUAGAGUUGUCAUAGGAUAGUACCCGGUGUGUGUGUGUGUGUGUGUGUGUGUGUGUGUGUGUGUGAUAUGACAGUUAUUACUUUCAAGAAUAAAUUAAAAUAACCAGAUACCCCUUUAGUACUUUCCUCAACAGCGUCAAUGCUCUAGAGAUGGGGCCUCGCCUUCCAAGGUGUCUUCACUCCCACAGGACCCCGGCUCUCUGCCUCAGCCCAACCCUGGGCUUGCGCUCAGAGAGGAGGUAUUCCGACGGAAAAAAUCCCAUACAUUUUUAACUACAGUGAUUACUAAAUUAAUAGCAGGCACCAAGACAGAUGUCAAAACGUCUUGAAAAUGUUUAUCUGUGAAUAAUUGAGAAGGUAGUGGGACGCAUUAUCUGAUUGUGUAAUGAAAUAUGUAUGAGGAACAGCUGUAUGCAGCAGCCCCUUCCCCUUGCCGCCUUAGCCAGGGCCCUUCUCUUGCAAGCUUUCUUCUACUUUCUUCCACCUUUUUCUUCCUUCUACUUUCUAGUUCGCUCUCCUCUUCAUUCACUGCUCACAGGGCUGUGGCUGCAGUGAACCCCAGAGUCGCCUGGUUCUCUGAUGAAGGUUAGCCACAAGGUUUCCUCUAAGCCUUGCUGGAUUGGCGUUCCGUAGCGGGAUGAGGCUUCGUUGUCUGCUGUUCUGGCCAUCGCGCCUUCCGGCCAGGCUGCCCGCUGGGUCUCCAUGGAGUCUGUGGGAGAGCAGACGAUGGAGCGGCGGCGGCGACAACGGUGGCUCGGAGCACCUGGUGUGCGCUGGCGGAGCUGCGCGGCCGGCUCGGAGUAGAGGCCCGGGAGCCCCGCGACUCAGCGGGGUGGGUCUAGGGUCACUGCGGGGUGACCGGGCUGGGGAUAGGCCUUUGUUUCCCUCUCUGGCCACAUUGCACACUUCCUUCCAGCCCCCAGCCAACCUCCAAGUCCCUGCGCCUUGGCCCUGUUUGUUUUUCCAGCCCCGAGCUUUCCACCCAGACGCACAAAUAGCCCUCGUGGCUGUGUCAGCCGCCCCAGGCCGUGGCCCAGCUCAGGCCACAAUCUAGCCUCCGCCUCACCGCCAGCUCAGGUUCUGCAGGAAGCAGAGGGGACAGGAGGGCUCCGGGGUCUUCCUGGAGCCAGAGGACACAAAGAUCAUCGGGCAGGGGAGGUGGCCGGGAAUGGUUUAGGACCUCAGUGGGCUGUGAAGGCCCAAGGUCUGGGCUCAGACGGGCGCACGUGGCUUGAGUGGCGGUUCCUGUGCUUCGGACGCGGCCAAAGAGUGGGGACAACGGAGAGGAUGAACAGAAGGACUCCUUCUGAGACCCCUUCAAGCAUGGACCUUGAAUGUCAUGUCAGUCACAUGUACAAACCCAGUGACCCCCCUGUAGGUAUGCUGUCCCCAUCUCCGCUUGCAGGUCUCUUUGCAAGGCAAUGGGACCUUGUCCCUGGCGCCGCGCUGUCUGUCGUCCCCAACCGGACCACAAGCAUGCCGCGGUGUCCACUUGUAUAGUCCCCUGGCCGUUGGCCCUUCCUAUCAUCAGGUGCUCAGUGUCUCCUCCUGGGCCCCCCAGAAGGCUCACCUCCCAGCUUCUAGGCGCUCUGGUCCUUCCUGAACCACCGCCCCUGAGCGCUUGCAGAACGAGGGUCCAGCUUUGUGUUCCGCAGCAUCGCAACGCCCCGCGUCUUCACAGGUUCCCUCUGUCUGCAGUAGAGAUGCGCUUGGGCAUUAUUUCUCAAGCAUGGCCCAUUUUACCUAAUCCCUUACAUUUUUAUUUUAAUCCUACACAUUACAGUUAAUCUGUAAUGAUACCGCUUCGGAUGAACCUGUUGCAUACGAGGCACUGCAAUUUGUAACCUUGGAAACUGUUUUAAAUAAAGAUUAUAACAGUG
ensembl:processed_transcript Six3os1 SIX homeobox 3, opposite strand 1